UCUUUCAGUUUUCAUUCUCGCGAGCGUAAGUAAAGUGCGCAGUUGUAUGACAAAAACGGAAAUAAUAGAAAUUCUUCAGGUUUACAGCUCUAAAAUUAUUUAAAACGCAAUAAACAUUAAGAUUAAAUGUGAUCGCACAACUGAGUGGUGAAUUCGGUAACAAAUUUUAAGUUUAAAUGGUAGAUUUCGCAUAUUUCUCGUGAGUGACGCCACUUUUCACAUGGCAGCACACUUUGCAAUGCAGGAACCGUUACUUUUCUUUUGUGCGCGUGCUUCGUAAGUGCGCACUUGUUCGAUCUCUGUGUAUUUGUUGUUUUAACAUAACCUUACCUAACAGAACGGUUAAAAGAUAAAUUGUAAAUUUGUAUACACAUGCAUAUGAAACUCCUCGUGUUUUCGGCUUUAAAAUUGUUUAAAACGCAAUAAAGAUUUAUAUUAAAUGUGAUCGCACAAGUGCGUGGUGAAUUCGGUAUCGAAUUUUAAGUUUAAAUGGUAGAUUUCGCAUAUUUUUCGUGAGUGACGCUUCUUUUCACAUGGCAGCAAACUUUGCAAUGCAGGAACCGUUACUUUUCUUUUGUGCGCGUGUUUCGUAAGUGCGCGUGUUUCGAUCUCCGUGGAUUUGUUGUCUUAACCUAAUCUAUCUUAACCUAACGAUAAACUUAUGCAAUUCAACCAUUCUGUGCAGCGGGUCCCUCGGUCCUUUUGGACAUUCAGUGCAGAGGCGCGUUGGCAACCGCCUGCUACCUUGCCAGGACCUUCCGCCACCGCCAACAACAAGCGAGCAGGCGAACAACGGCAGCAUCCAGGGCAGCCAUCAAAAAAGGCUUUCAAUGGUAGACGAGGUCCUGCCACUGCCACCACCCACUUGCCUCGCCACUCCACUCCACUCCAUCACCCCAUCACCCCAUCACCCCAUCACCCUUCCCGCCCCGCCGCCUCCUCGUCGACCUCCGCGAACUCGCCAUCCUGCAAAGUCUACAUCCGAAGUCCUGUUGUCCGUUUUCCCGUUGCCAUGUUGGACGGCAAUGGCGAUAUUUGCUUUCCUUUCCGCCAUGAAACGGAAUGAAAUGCGAGGAGGCGGGAUGGUCAGGGGGUGGCAAAAAGGGGCUGGUAAAGGGGUUGGCCGGACUGGCCUGCGAAAUGUGGGUGGGCCGCGCACAUGGGGUGGAUAUUUCGCCAUUAUUGUAGCAAUUUUGAUCAAUGGCCCUAUAUUCCCGGCAAGCGCUGUCCGCCAACCCGAAAAGGACGAAGCAAAGGACCUACGACCUGCACACACAGCAUCCAAAUUAUUCGAGGCUUCUCGACUUUUUUCCCAGUGCCACAUGUUUCAUGACUGCCCAAGAUGUUGCCGAACUUUCGGCCAAGUGGCUUUGGGCCCGGCUUUUAGCCAGCGAGUGCAUGUAAAUGAGCGGCGAUGCGGACUGUGAGCUAGGCUUGCAUCUGAAUCUGAAUCUGAAGUUGCAACUGUCGAAUGUUCGAUGAUGAUCGCCGAUGACGCUGAUGUCUAUAAUGAUGAUUAUGAUCAUCCACCAUGAGUUGAUGAUGAUGGUGGUGGUGGUGGUGAUGAUGGCGACGUUAUUGUGCCAAGCUGUACCCUUAAAUAUGAUUGCAUAUGAAGGUUGGCAAUUCAUGGGGUUACAUCAAGCCAGAUUCAGACAUAUCUCGCGUCUGUUUCUCUGCGUCUGUGGCUGAAAAUCGGAAAAGCGGGAAAGCCUGCUGUGUACAGUAACACAAAUCGAAGCGGACACUAUAAAUAGCCACCCUCCGCGACGACGAAGGCGAAGACGAAGAAGAAGACGCCGGCUGUGGCGCAUCAAUAUCCAUCCAUCGUUUUGGGUUGAAUCGGAGGAAGGAGCGCACGGAUGCCGCCGAGGAUGUGUAUAUGCCAUGGAUAUGGACGCUGCUACUGGUACCAGAAGUACGGAGUACGGAGCACUGCUCGAUUAUCCGCUGGAGUGUGGGGGGAGGGGGUGGGGGGAGGCUAUUCCCUUGGCUGCCGGACGGUUGGCUAAAUGAAACACAUUCGGAGCGACAUUAAGUAAACAGACUAGCAACCAUGUCAAUGUCAAACGCACUCGCCGACGUCGACGUCGCUGUUACCGCCGCUGCUGCCGCCGCCGCUGCGAAUGCCACUGCCACUGCCGCCGCCUCUGCUAGCGACGCAGUCAACGUCGGGCACAUGUGCGUGGCCAUGUAACGGGAAAAGAGGCCGUGUGGACACCGCUGGCAGGACCCCCAUCCCCGUCCCACGCAGCCCCACCUCCACAUCUUUGUGCGCCACAGUAGGCGCACGUCCAGCAAACAAACUUUUGAGUGCAUUCUUGCAUAAUUUCAUUUUCAUAAAUUUAGCAUUCUUUAUCAAACCAUAUUGACCAAUUAUAUAAAUUUCAUGUUUUGCUUACAAUAAAAUGAAAUAUAUCAACGAAAU
ensembl:ncRNA lncRNA:CR44357 long non-coding RNA:CR44357